rnacentral:rRNA from 1 species
UUAGAGUUUGAUCAUGGCUCAGAACAAACGCUGGCGGUGCGUUUUAAGCAUGCAAGUCGAACGGUAACAGGCCUUCGGGUGCUGACGAGUGGCGGACGGGUGAGUAACACGUAGGAAUCUACCCUCAAGUCUGGGACAACCUGGAGAAAUUCAGGCUAAUACCGGAUGUGCUCUACGGAGUAAAGAAUUUCGCUUGAGGAUGAGCCUGCGGCUGAUUAGCUUGUUGGUGGGGUAAAGGCCCACCAAGGCGACGAUCAGUAGCCGACUUGAGAGAGUGUACGGUCACACCGGAACUGAGACACGGUCCGGACUACUACGGUGGGCAGCAGCUAAGAAUCUUCCGCAAUGGGCGCAAGCCUGACGGAGCGACACCGCGUGAUUGAUGAAUGCCGAGAGGUUGUAAAGAUCUUUUCCUAGUGAGGAUAAUGACGUUAACUAGGGAAUAAGCCCCGGCUAAUUACGUGCCAGCAGCCGCGGUAAUACGUAAGGGGCGAGCGUUGUUCGGAAUUAUUGGGCGUAAAGGGCGUGUAGGCGGUCUUAAAAGUCUGGAGUUAAAGACCACAGCUUAACUGUGGAAGUGCUUUGGAAACUGUAAGACUAGAAUCUAGCAGGGGUAAUCGGAAUUUCUAGUGUAGGGGUGAAAUCUGUUGAUAUUAGAAAGAACACCAGAGGCGAAGGCGGAUUACUGGGUUAAGAUUGACGCUGAGGCGCGAAAGCGUAGGUAGCAAACAGGAUUAGAUACCCUGGUAGUCUACGCUGUAAACGUUGCACACUUGGUGUUGGGCCAUUAGGCUUAGUGCCAAAGCUAACGUAUUAAGUGUGCCGCCUGGGGGGUAUACUCGCAAGAGUGAAACUCAAAGGAAUUGACGGGGGCCCGCACAAGCGGUGGAGCAUGUUGUUUAAUUCGAUGAUACGCGAGAAACCUUACCAGGACUUGACAUAUAGUAGACAGGCUUAGAGAUAAGCUCUUCUUCGGACUGCUAUACAGGUGCUGCAUGGCUGUCGUCAGCUCGUGCCGUGAGGUGUUGGGUUAAGUCCCGCAACGAGCGCAACCCUUGUCGUAUGUUACCAUCAUUUAGUUGGGGACUCAUGCGAGACUGCCGGUGAUAAACCGGAGGAAGGUGAGGACGACGUCAAGUCAUCAUGGCCCUUACGUCCUGGGCUACAAACGUGCUACAAUGGUCGGUACAAAGUGACGCUACUUCGUAAGAACACGCAAAUCACAUAAAGCCAGCCUCAGUUCGGAUUGAGCUCUGCAACUCGAGCUCAUGAAGUUGGAAUCGCUAGUAAUCGUAUAUCAGAAUGAUACGGUGAAUACGUUCCCGGGCCUUGUACACACCGCCCGUCACACCACCCGAGUCGGGGAUACCCAAAGUCGUUAGUCUAACUUCGGAGGACGAUGCCUAAGGUAUGCUUGGUAAGGGGGGUGAAGUCGUAACAAGGUAGCCGUA